rnacentral:rRNA from 1 species
GUAAGAUAAAAGUGCUUAUAUAGAGAAACCCGUUAUCGUAUUAGUGUAACUGAUUAAAAGGAGCAUAGUAAAGUAAAUAUUUGGUUCUGGUAUAAUGUUAGCUACAGAGUUUUUUACAUUACACAAUGUAGGAUAAUUUCGUGAUGUGUAAAAGUCUGAUUUACGUGAUAAGCCAAGUUUAAUGCAUCCUAAAAGGAAUAGCUGGCAGCAGGAGCAUAAGUUUUUAAUGAUGACGCGAAGGAAAUCACAACUCAAGUGGGUAGAUCUGGAAAUCAAUGAGUUCUAGCUUGAAACGAAUAAAAAACUAACUAAAUCGAAGCGAAAGAGGGUGCCAGCAGCUGCGGUCACUCCCUCUCUCGAGGAGCUAAUAAGGGUGCAGCUUAGAGGCAGUUAGUCAAAAAGUGUGACGCAAGACAUACAGCAAGGACUAUGGGUGAAAUCUCAGUCUUGCGGGAGGUCCAAAGCUUGCGUAAAGAUGAAUCUGCGAAGUUAUGGGCAUAGACCCGGAUUUGGUACCCGGUUAUUCCAUAAUGUCAAGUAUAGCUAUUUUAUUUGAAUUAAUAGUUUGCUAGGGGUACUACGAGCAACUGCUUAAAACUCGAAGAACUUGGCGGUUCCGCAUAACCAUCCAGAGGCUCUUGGCGCUUAAUCUGAUGAUCCGCGUGAUAUCUUACCUGCCCUAUAGAAAGCAGUGUACUGCCGUCGAAAGCUUAUGAUGUGAGUAAAUAAAAAUAGGCCCAAUCUUGGGGUUUUAAGUAAUUAAUAAUCAUGCCGAGGCUAGGUCAGGUCGAAGUGCUCCUUAUGGGCAAGGGGUUAGCUGAGAGACAAAUAUUUAGACAUAUAAAGAUUUUAGGGAUGAAAUUCUCUUAGUGUAUAUAAGGAUUUGGGAGUAAAAAGAGAGUAACUCGUUUUUUUGAAAAGACGCAACUGCGGUGCGUUCAAAUCGCCCGUCACCCUAGCCGAAAGGAGAGGUAAGUCGUAACAUGGUAAGGGUAGGGGAACUUGCUCUUUUAAUUAUUAAAACUAUAGAUAAUUUU